CAGUCGCCGCGGUAAUACGAAGGGUGCAAGCGUUAAUCGGAAUUACUGGGCGUAAAGCGUGCGUAGGCGGUGAGUUAAGUCUGCUGUGAAAUCCCCGGGCUCAACCUGGGAAUGGCAGUGGAUACUGGCUCGCUAGAGUGUGGCAGAGGGGGGUGGAAUUCCGCGUGUAGCAGUGAAAUGCGUAGAUAUGCGGAGGAACACCGAUGGCGAAGGCAGCCCCCUGGGCCAACACUGACGCUCAUGCACGAAAGCGUGGGAGCAAACAGGAUUAGAGACCCCGGUAGUCCCUGUCUCUUAUACA
rnacentral:rRNA from 1 species